rnacentral:lncRNA from 1 species
GUGCAUUUAGGAAACAAGGUUCUAUAGCAAGUUGUAGCGUGCUAAAUCGAAUAAAUUUGCAUUAGCUUGUAAUAUGCACAUAGUUCGUGAAUUCUGCACUAAAGUCUUCACCACAAUUUCUUAUAGAUGAAUCCUAUUAGGAGAAAAUGAUAGUUAAAACCAAUAACCUCAGUCGAUGCAUCGAUUUAUUUUUUCAAAAUGUUAUUGGUAUAUACUUUGAAUCAUGCGGGAAUCGAUAGAGAUUAUUACUCUUUUUCUGAUUCCAUGUUAACACUACGACUCAAAUUUUGUUUUUUAUGUUUGAAAUCCCUUUUUUCUCUUUGGGAUGAACAUGUCUGUUGACAUAGUGGAUUCCUCCCUUGGGUUCCUCCAAAGAGGAAUGUCUCAGUUGAUUAGGGUAUUUUUCCAGAAAGACAUGUCCUUCAAUUUGUUAGUUGCAUCAAAUGGCAGACCCAAUCAAUAUAGGACACAUCCAAGAGUCAACAAAAUUAUGCCCACCUUAAGAUACAUCCUGUUAAGUUAGCUGAAGGGUGAAUCUGAAUCAAUCCCUUAGCCCAAAUGCAAAGGAAAAGGACCAAAAACUUUGAAAGAUGGAGAUGAAAGUACAAGAAAUUCGAGAAAUCUCUUCCUUGUGAAAAAGUUAGAUAUGAUAAAUAACUCAGAGCGCAUCCUCCCUCAAAUUCAAGAACUCUUACUCUCCUGCUAUUAUUAGGAUGUAUAGGAGUAAACAAACCACGACCUAUUUAUAAACACUAGAGGUGUGAGUGGAUGUUAAAGGGUAAGAGUUGCAUCCUCCAUCAAAUGUACUUGAAGCUUAGGUUUAGAUGCAUCCCAUCAUUAAUAUGAGUGACGCUUGGAUGCAAGCGUAAAAUACCAGAACAAAGGAUAUGUCUUUUGAGAUAAAGACUAAAACAAAUUAAGACACCUCAAGGGAGAAGAAAUCAGUACAUGAACAGAUACAUAUCUCUUUAGGGAAAAAAAAAAGAUCUAAAACAAUAAACAGAUGAAUGUUGGUAACAAUUAAAAUAUAAGAACAGAAAAUAAGUAAUGGUCCCAAUAAUCUCUGGGUUGAGUUACUUGUUUGAGGUAUCCUAUGGGCUAUCAGAAGAUCAAAUUGUUUUUACUUCAAUAUAAACUUUGUGAACCUACAAUGUCAACAGCUGAAGCUGCUUUCUACAGAAAUUUUAUGAAAACCUUCUUCAAUUAUUUGCCUUUCCCCUAUUCUUGUUGUUCAGGUUUAUCUAUUUUGCCUUAAAAUCUGAAAAUUUGAUCAAAUGAAAUUUUAUUGACGGCUUGAAAGAAGUUCUUGCUUUGCCGAGGCAAGGAGCAUCCAUAUAGGAGCCAACCUUGAGUUCCUCCAUGACUAACCAUACAACCGACGGCAAGCACAAGAACUUAUUCUCCUAUCCUAUGCACAAGAAACUUCCGAGAAUAUUAUUUAGAGAGAAAAAAAUAAAAUCGAUCCAGUCCCGUAUCCAGUUUCUACACAGAAUCUUUGAUCUUUCGAUGUUUCUUCCUCCAAGAAAGAUCACAA